rnacentral:lncRNA from 1 species
CCCGAAGGUAAUUAUAAUGCAUAAAGUGCAUUAAGGAAGGAUCCACGAGAGCACCAGUGCAAAAUCUGCACUGGAGCAGAAAUGCUCUCGGGGACCGGUCCCUGGCAGGGAGGGACCGGUCCCAUCAGGCUGGGCUGCGGGGGUCUCUGAUGAGACCGGUCCCUGGCAGGCAGGGACCGGUUCCCGAACGUUGACCCAGCGAGAA